rnacentral:rRNA from 2 species
CACGCCCUAAACGAUGUCAACUAGUUGUCGGGUCUUCAUUGACUUGGUAACGUAGCUAACGCGUGAAGUUGACCGCCUGGGGAGUACGGUCGCAAGAUUAAAACUCAAAGGAAUUGACGGGGACCCGCACAAGCGGUGGAUGAUGUGGAUUAAUUCGAUGCAACGCGAAAAACCUUACCUACCCUUGACAUGUAUGGAAUCCUGCUGAGAGGUGGGAGUGCCCGAAAGGGAGCCAUAACACAGGUGC